UUGAUCCUGGCUCAGAUUGAACGCUGGCGGCAUGCUUUACACAUGCAAGUCGAACGGCAGCACGGGGGCAACCCUGGUGGCGAGUGGCGAACGGGUGAGUAAUAUAUCGGAACGUACCCGGAAAUGGGGGAUAACGUAGCGAAAGUUACGCUAAUACCGCAUAUGCCCUAAGGGGGAAAGCGGGGGAUUCGCAAGAACCUCGCGUUUUCGGAGCGGCCGAUAUCGGAUUAGCUAGUAGGUGAGGUAAAGGCUCACCUAGGCGACGAUCCGUAGCUGGUCUGAGAGGACGACCAGCCACACUGGAACUGAGACACGGUCCAGACUCCUACGGGAGGCAGCAGUGGGGAAUUUUGGACAAUGGGCGCAAGCCUGAUCCAGCCAUGCCGCGUGAGUGAAGAAGGCCU
rnacentral:rRNA from 1 species